rnacentral:rRNA from 1 species
GGAGUUAGCCGGUGCUUCUUCUGUGAGUGAUGUCCUUCCUGCCGGCUAUUAACCCGCAGGCCUUCUUCCUCACUGAAAGUGCUUUACAACCCGAAGGCCUUCUUCACACACGCGGCAUGGCUGGAUCAGGGUUGCCCCCAUUGUCCAAUAUUCCCCACUGCUGCCUCCCGUAGGAGUCUGGGCCGUGUCUCAGUCCCAGUGUGGCUGAUCAUCCUCUCAGACCAGCUACGGAUCGUCGCCUUGGUGAGCCGUUACCUCACCAACCAGCUAAUCCGACAUAGGCUCAUCCGAUAGCGCGAGGCCCGAAGGUCCCCCGCUUUCCCCCGUAGGGCGUAUGCGGUAUUAGCCUGGGUUUCCCCAGGUUAUCCCCCACUACCGGGGCAGAUUCCUAUGCAUUACUCACCCGUCCGCCGCUCGCCACCAGGGAGCAAGCUCCCCGUGCUGCCGCUCGACUUGCAUGUGUUAGGCCUGCCGCCAGCGUUCAAUCUGAGCAUAAUACAACUACUGA